rnacentral:rRNA from 1 species
UACAGAGGUCUCAAGCGUUGUUCGGAUUCAUUGGGCGUAAAGGGCGCGUAGGCUGCGGGGCAAGUCGGGUGUGAAAUCUCAGAGCUCAACUCUGAAACUGCACUCGAUACUGCUUUGCUUGAGGACUGGAGAGGAGAUUGGAAUUCACGGUGUAGCAGUGAAAUGCGUAGAUAUCGGGAGGAACACCGGUGGCGAAGGCGGGUCUCUGGGCCGAUACUGACGCUGAGGAACGAAAGCGUGGGGAGCAAACAGG